UGUCUGUGAUGUGACUGCGUGCCUUUUGAAGAAUGAGCCUGCGAGUUAUGGUGUGUGGCGAGGUUAACCCGUGUGGGGGAGCCGUAGCGAAAGCGAGUCUGAAGAGGGCGUUUGAGUCGCAUGCUGUAGACCCGAAGCGGAGUGAUCUAGGCAUGGGCAGGUUGAAGCGUGGGUAAGACUGCGUGGAGGACCGAACCCACCAGGGUUGAAAACCUGGGGGAUGACCUGUGUUUAGGGGUGAAAGGCCAAUCAAACUCCGUGAUAGCUGGUUCUCCCCGAAAUGCAUUUAGGUGCAGCGUUGCGUGUUUCUUGCCGGAGGUAGAGCACUGGAUGGCUGAUGGGCCUUACCGGGUUACUGACGUCAGCCAAACUCCGAAUGCCGGUAAGUGAGAGCGUAGCAGUGAGACUGCGGGGGAUAAGCUCCGUAGUCGAGAGGGAAACAGCCCAGAUCACCGACUAAGGCCCCUAAGCGUGUGCUAAGUGGGAAAGGAUGUGGAGUCGCAGUGACAACCAGGAGGUUGGCUUAGAAGCAGCCAUCCUUGAAAGAGUGCGUAAUAGCUCACUGGUCAAGUGAUUCCGCGCCGAUAAUGUAGCGGGGCUCAAGUACACCGCCGAAGUCGUGGCACUCACACAUUUAGCCUGGCAGGGUUUCCUGUCUGGGUGUGUGGGUGGGUAGGGGAGCGUCGUGCAGCCGGUGAAGCAGCGGAGUGAUCCAGUUGUGGAGGCUGUGCGAGUGAGAAUGCAGGCAUGAGUAGCGAAUCAGAAGUGAGAAACUUCUGCGCCGGAUGACCAAGGGUUCCUGGGGCAGGUUAAUCCGCCCAGGGUAAGUCGGGACCUAAGGCGAGGCCGACAGGCGUAGUCGAUGGACAACGGGUUGAUAUUCCCGUACCCGCUAUGAUGCGCCAGUACUGAAUCCAGUGAUACUAAGGGUCCUUAACCCGGCUGUUCCUUCGGGGACGGUGUCAGGGUGAACGCCUGGCCUGAUCUGGUAGUAGGUAAGCGAUGGGGUGACGCAGGAAGGUAGCCCAGCCCAGGCGGUGGUUGUCCUGGGGUAAGCAU
rnacentral:rRNA from 1 species